GCCUUGGUGGUGUAGUGGUAGUAGCCCGCGUUCUUGGUAUGGAUGAAACGCGAGUUUGAUUCACGCUUGAGGCC